UACGGAGGGGGCUAGCGUUGUUCGGAAUUACUUGGCGUAAAGCGCACGUAGGCGGCUCUGCAAGUCAGAGGUGAAAGCCCGGGGCUCAACCUUGGAACUGCCUUUGAGACUGGGUAGCUCGAGUCCGGGAGAGGCGGGUGGAAUUCCGAGUGUAGAGGUGAAAUUCGUAGAUAUUCGGAAGAACACCAGUGGCGAAGGCGGCCCGCUGGACCGGCAUUGACGCUGAGGUGCGAAAGCGUGGGGAGCAAACAGG
rnacentral:rRNA from 1 species